AUUGAACGCUGGCGGCAGGCCUAACACAUGCAAGUCGAGCGGAUGAAGGGAGCUUGCUCCUGGAUUCAGCGGCGGACGGGUGAGUAAUGCCUAGGAAUCUGCCUGGUAGUGGGGGAUAACGUCCGGAAACGGGCGCUAAUACCGCAUACGUCCUGAGGGAGAAAGUGGGGGAUCUUCGGACCUCACGCUAUCAGAUGAGCCUAGGUCGGAUUAGCUAGUUGGGGGGGUAAGGCCUACCAAGGCGACGAUCCGUAACUGGUCUGAGAGGAUGAUCAGUCACACUGGAACUGAGACACGGUCCAGACUCCUACGGGAGGCAGCAGUGGGGAAUAUUGGACAAUGGGCGAAAGCCUGAUCCAGCCAUGCCGCGUGUGUGAAGAAGGUCUUCGGAUUGUAAAGCACUUUAAGUUGGGAGGAAGGGCAGUAAGUUAAUACCUUGCUGUUUUGACGUUACCAACAGAAUAAGCACCGGCUAACUUCGUG
rnacentral:rRNA from 1 species